CUAUGGUUCCCCGAAGGGAAGCUGUUUAUAGCCGAAUGUAAUUCUUAUUUUUCUCGUGCAUGUGUGGUGUUUGAUGAUUGCACGCGUGUGGUGCCGUUUGACGAGGCCGGACGCAUUUUGACACAGAAAAAAGAUGACUCACUACUUAGAUGACAUUGCAUCUGAUUCAUCGCCGGUCGGUCCCUGCUUGCGGUGGAAAAUACUCUUCCCUGCAGAUAAUACAGAAAGGAGAAUCCAUUUCAAACCCCCGAGCUCCAGCUUUCCUUAGAUGACCUGAGGCCCACCUGAGGGAGGGACCGUCACAGAUCCAGAUUAACCGUGCUGAUGAAAAGGACGGCGGCUUUUUGAAAACUGCAUGAAUUCAUCCCGCUUAUGAAUUCACAAUGUUUUAUCCCCAGCUGUCUCACACCAAAAACUGCUUUGCAUGCUGCUGACCCUAAAAGCUUCUCUGAUGUGCCUCUAGCUAAUUUUUCACCUCAUUAGCCUGGACAGACAUAAAAACUGGGGCACUGUGAGGACAAAGCAGGCUUGUGUACAUAUCUACAGCAGGAAAACAUGGGAUAAUGCGGUGGAGACGGAGGCCAUAUUAACCGGAGCGUCUGCACGCUGCAGUCGUCAGAGGCAUGAAGACAAUUAAAUAUGUGAUAAGAAAGGAACAUGUCGCAGAGAGACUUGUUUGUUUGGAGUAUUGAGUAGCGCUGCCGCCUAUGAGUAUCGACAAGGGAUAGUACGUAUACGCACUUUGGGCUAACGAGGAAGUGAGGGCAGGGUUUGACA